rnacentral:lncRNA from 1 species
UAACUUGUGGUUUAAAGUGUAUCAAUUUGAUACCCUGUAGUUUCAUUUUUAUCUUUCCGGUAGAUUUUUCGUUAAUAUUUCGUUAAAUUAUAUACAAAAAACUUUAGAUAUCUACCUAGGUUUAUCGAAUAUUCACUUUAGUACCCUUUAAUUUUAAUUUUGUCACUAAUUUAAGAAAAAAAUAGUGAAAUUGAUAAUAAAACGAGAAAAAUGAAACCACAUGUCACUAAAUUGAUAUAUUUUAAACUAAAUUGAUACAUUUUAAACCACAGGGUACUAAAUUGAAAAAGUGCGAAACCACAGUGGAGUUUUUUGAAGCUUUCCUUUUUUUCUAUGCAUAUAUUAUAUGAGAUGAUAAAUAUUUUGACAUUGU